UACGUAGGGUGCAAGCGUUAAUCGGAAUUACUGGGCGUAGAGCGUGCGCAGGCGGCUUUGCAAGACAGAUGUGAAAUCCCCGGGCUCAACCUGGGAACUGCAUUUGUGACUGCAAGGCUGGAGUACGGCAGAGGGGGAUGGAAUUCCGCGUGUAGCAGUGAAAUGCGUAGAUAUGCGGAGGAACACCGAUGGCGAAGGCAAUCCCCUGGGCCUGUACUGACGCUCAUGCACGAAAGCGUGGGGAGCAAACAGG
rnacentral:rRNA from 1 species